GAUGAACGCUGGCGGCGUGCCUAAUACAUGCAAGUCGAGCGAACGGACGAGAAGCUUGCUUUUCUGAUGUUAGCGGCGGACGGGUGAGUAACACGUGGAUAACCUACCUAUAAGACUGGGAUAACUUCGGGAAACCGGAGCUAAUACCGGAUAAUAUUUUGAACCGCAUGGUUCAAAAGUGAAAGACGGUCUUGCUGUCACUUAUAGAUGGAUCCCCGCUGCAUUAGCUAGUUGGUAAGGUAACGGCUUACCAAGGCAACGAUGCAUAGCCGACGUGAGAGGGGGGUCGGCGACCCGGGAAGGGGAACACGGUCAAGAGUACUACGGGAGGGAGCAGUCGGGAAUCUUCCGCAGUGGGCGAGAACCUGGCGGAACAACGGCACGUGAGUGGUAGAGGUGUCCGGAUCGUAAAACUGUGUUAUUAGGGAAAAACAGAUGUGUAAGUAACUGAGCAGAUCGUGACGGUACCUAGUCAGAAAGCAACGGCUAACUACGUG
rnacentral:rRNA from 1 species